UUACACUUCAAUGACUAAAUUUGUUGAAUGAAGCAAAAAGGCAAAUAAAUUAAUUUGUUUGACAUUUACUUUUAAGGUCUUUUGUACAAACUGCCUGGACUAGGAGAUCUCAUGGUGAAACUGCAAAGCAACCCAAUAAGAAAACCAUAGAAACAAGAAAAUUUAUUUUUUUCAAGCCUAAAAAAUGUAUUGGACUUUCAAUUCAAAUUUCUUUUUCUGAUUUGUUUUCUUAGAUAGAAGAACUCAAAUCAAACCUAGUUCUUCUUUACUAAAAAAAUGUUGAUAAGAAGAUUAAAAACCCUGCUUAAACCCUUGUUUGAUCCUCACCUCCGUCUCAUAGCCGC
rnacentral:lncRNA from 1 species